rnacentral:ribozyme from 1 species
UUUCGGUGCCCUUGUUCCCGCUUUGUCGCGAGGAGUCAAUUAUCAAUUGAACAAAGAUGUGUAUGAAAUUAAUCAUUCUAAGGAAGGUGUUGAAGUCAAAACCAAGGAUGGUGAUGUGUUUUCCGCCUAUAAAGUGUUGAUCUCCGUC